ACGGAGGAUCCGAGCGUUAUCCGGAUUUAUUGGGUUUAAAGGGUGCGUAGGCGGACCUGUAAGUCAGUGGUGAAAGUUUGCAGCUCAACUGUAAAAUUGCCAUUGAAACUAUUGGUCUUGAGUGUAAAUGAGGUAGGCGGAAUGUGUUGUGUAGCGGUGAAAUGCUUAGAUAUAACACAGAACACCAAUUGCGAAGGCAGCUUACUAGGAUACAACUGACGCUGAGGCACGAAAGCGUGGGGAUCAAACAG
rnacentral:rRNA from 1 species